rnacentral:snoRNA from 1 species
AUCCCAAGGUGUGGAUAGGCAACAACAUACUCUUGAAAUUUCUCCCAAGCAUCGGCAAUGGAUUCCUCAGCUUGUUGUGUAAAACUAGAGAUUUUAUUGCGAAGAGC